GUCCCCGGGUGAGUCGAGUCCUAAGGCGAGGCCGACAGGCGUAGUCGAAUGGAUGAACGGGUUGAUAUUCCCGUACCGGUGUUACACCGUUCGAACUGAAUCUGAGAGUACUAACCUUCAUUUAUAGGCUGGCUUCCUUUCGGGGUUGUUGGCUUGUUUGUGUUGGGAGCGUAUCGGUAGUAGGUUAGCGUGGGAGUGACGCGGGUAGGUAGCCGGCUGCGGAGGUGGUUUUCCGUGGCUAAGCGUGUGGGCUGUCCUCUAGGUAAAUCCGGGGGAUGUUAAAGCUGAGGCGUGAUGGGUAGGCUGUAAGGCUGAUUCCGGUGAUCCUGCUUGCCAAGAAAAGCUUCAACGUGAGGUGUGAUUCCGCUCGUACCCUAAACCGACACUGGUGGUCUGGUAGAGUAUACCGAAGCGAUCGGGCGAAUCCUGGCCAAGGAACUCGGCAAAUUACUCCCGUGCCUUCGGCAUAAGGGAGACCCCUGAUGGUGAUAUGGUUUCACACUGUUGAGCUGUUGGGGGUGGCACAAGCUAGGGGGUAGCGACUGUUUACCAAAAACACAGGAGCGUGCGAAGGCGUAAGCCGCUGUAUACGCUCUGACGCCUGCCCGGUGCCGGAAGGUU
rnacentral:rRNA from 1 species